GUUCUUUGUCAUGCAAUCGAUGGCCUAAUUCCGUGCACCUACGUCGCACCGUUCCAGGAACCCCAUCAAGCGUGUGGCGGAAAGGUCCCUAUAUUGGACCGCAGCACUAUAGCACUCAGAUGCCAGUCAAGUGUUCGACCAGUCCCAAUCCUCCUCGAGACUGUUCGAUCGACCAAUUUCGUUCCACCUUCGAUUUGUCCCCAUCACCGAUCCAAUCGCCGACCACAACGAUCCGCCAAAGAAAAGAAAUAUCAAUCCACUUCCAGUGUUGCCACCUUUGCUAAUAGAAGCAACACCAACCUCUGAAAUUAUUUCUCCAACACUAUUGGAUCUAUUGGUGGUUCGCUACGCGUCUUCUGGAAAACGUCGGCCAUUGGAGCAAAAAUGUGCGGAGCUUUUUGCCCCCCAGUCGUCUCUUCCAGCAACAAUGGCGAAGAGGUCGAGCGAUCAAGACCGAGUGGAUCCGAUGUCACGUGGGCACGCGUCCCGAUUUUUAUAAUUCGUGGCUCAUCUUGAAUAGCGCGGCACUUAUAGCGAAUUCGUAGGCGUUAAAUAAUGUUUCCUUAGUCAAUUUACUGUUAGUGCCUGUGUUCGAUAUAACCUGCGUCGGCCAGUACGGAUCGCAUAUUUACGAGCGUGCCGUAAAGCUCGCUUAGACGCGCGCGUUGCGCUAUUCGCUACAAUAAAUUGGAGCAGGCCAACUUGUCUCGUGCUGUAGGUUUUACGGAAUGAUCAUCCUUAUUGGCGGCGAUAACGAUCUUACGUCCAAAUAAUUUACAACGCUCGAGUUGGUGCGUGUGCGUUGAAACGAUACGGAGAAGCAUCUCUUCUCAUUAUGCACGUUCGAAAGUAAAUUAUAUUUUCAUUGUUUUGGAAUUGUGUGGUACCUACGUCUCACAGAGUAGCGUAGUGUGAGUCUAGGAUUAUUUA